rnacentral:miRNA from 10 species
CUCCUGUCCAGUUGUGCACUGGGAGAGAGGUUCAUUCACUCAACAGAUAUUAACUGAGGGGCUACUGUGUGCCAGGCACCGUACUAG